rnacentral:lncRNA from 1 species
CAGCUGGAGCACGGCGUCGUAGAUGGUGGUGGUGGUGCUGUUGACGAGGGUGUCCCAGCUGAUGGCUGCCGGGGGGAUGGUGAGCGGCGUGGUGUUGCUGGGGAGCUCGGCCGUGGCUUCCCUGGCCACAGACCCCUUGGGCCCGACGACCAUGUCGUCGAUGGGGAAGGUGACGGUGACGGUGGUGUUGGGCAUGAUCUUGACGAGCAGGAUCGCCUGGACGUGACCGGUGUAGUAGACGGCGGUGCGGUCGCUGGGGUUGGAGGCCCGGAGGCUGAGCACGAACCGGAGGAGCCUGCUGGCCGGCGU